rnacentral:misc_RNA from 1 species
GAUGAAGAACGCAGCGAAACGCGAUAUGUAAUGUGAAUUGCAGAAUUCAGUGAAUCAUCGAAUCUUUGAACGCACAUUGCGCCCUCUGGUAUUCCGGAGGGCAUGCCUGUUCGAGCGUCAUUUCGACCCUCAAGCAUUGCUUGGUGUUGGGGCACCGCCUGUAAAAGGGCGGGCCCUGAAAUCUAGUGGCGAGCUCGCCAGGACCCCGAGCGUAGUAAUUAUAUUUCGUUCUGGAAGGCCCUGGCGGUGCCCUGCCGUUAAACCCCCAACUUCUGAAAAUUUGACCUCGGAUCAGGUAGGAAUACCCGCUGAACUUAAGCAUAUCAAUAAGCGGAGGA